GAAAGGAUCAGAGCCCCAGGAUAAAGGAGUGUCUGAAAAGAGCCUUGGCCCCAUGAGAAAAGGCUCUCUUCUGCUCUGGGAUCAAGCGUUGUGUUCUCUGAAGGAGCAAAUUUGAAACAAUUUUUAUUCUCUUGCUACUAUUGUUUCUCAUUACCACUGUUUGUCUUGUGUUCUUUUGUGAAGCGUCCUCUGCCAGACGAGUAGCAAUCAUGAAAACUUGGAAGUAUUGUGGAGGAAGGAGGAUUUUUUUUUUUUAUUUCCUUUUUAAAAAUGUGAAAUUAAAAAAAAAAAAAAAUCAGAUGUUUUCCCUGCUAGUGAAAAGUAAGGUGAGAAAGAGGAAUGUAUGGGGAAAAAAGCUGUCUCACAGCUUUGUUGAAUGCUGGAGAAGGAAGAGAUGGAUGAAAAGCACUAAUAAAAAGCAAAGUUUGAGGAGUGGACUUGAAGACUGCCUUACUGCUUAUCUGAUUCCCCACAAAGGGGCCGGGCUGUCUUGCAGGACGGUUUCAGGUAACAUCAGCCCGAGCCUCCUGACUCAUCCCUGUGUGGGUUUUGGAUGUGCUGGAGCUGAGCUGAACCUGCCAGGCUCUUACAGUUUGCUUUUGCACACAUGGAGGAGAAGCUGGGCUGCUUGGACCGAGCGUUACAAAGCCUCUUUCUAGGAAAGGAGCUUUGCGUAACAGAAGGGAAAAUAGGUCGUUGUCAAGGUUUAGGGCAUCUGCAGAAGAAAGUAAACAAGUGGUGCAGCGUGGCCGGGCUAGAGGGGAGAGCAGGAUCUGCUCCUGCUCCAGACAAGGCUGUGCUUUGAAGGAGGGCUUGGCUGGGAGUAAAGACAGCCUCCUGUUUACAGCAGUGGGAUUCGGGUUCUCCACGUGAUCCUUGGCAAAGCAUCCCAUGCCUGGGCUGAGUCUGGGUGCAGGGAGGAAUCAGCUCCCCACAGCACCCCAGGUUUUGGGUGCCAGGCUCUGUUGGGCACGACACACAGCAAACAGGGCCUCGGAAUCGCUGUGGAGCUGCUGCGGGAGGGGGAGGCUCCCCGAGGCAGAAAACCAUGGCAAAGCAGAGCCAGGCAAAGCCAGAGCACAGCCUGCCCAGGGACACAGAGAAAGAAACAAAAAACAAGGCAAAAAAACCCCCAAAAAACCAAAAACCACCAAAACAACCACCAGCCUCCUGCAAAAGCACCGCAAAGUCCUUACAAACGGCCUGGGGCAUCGUCCAAGCGAAAUGCCAGGGGAGAUUUUGGGAAGACAUCCAGCUGACACAGAACCACAGCACGUUACCUUCCCGAGGGCCGGGGGAGAGGCCGGGCACCCACCCGGGCAGCAGCGGCCGGCUCUGUGCUGGCAGCCCGGGCUGUGGGCGAGCCCUCCCCGCCGGGGUACAGCCUGUGCCGGAGCUGCGGCAGCCGGGGGGCUCCGCGGAACAUCUGCCAGCUGCCCGGCCCCCGCCGCCAGCCCGCCAGGACAUCUUGUUUGUGUUUUUGUGCGGAGCACACUCCCAGCGGGUUAUGUCAGAGAUGGGCUGCUGACAGGUGCUGCUGGGGGCUGAGAGAUGGAAAAUCCGGACGCUCUGAUAUGGUCUGUCACUAGCUUGAAGAGAAAAAAAGCAGGUGAGAUUUGGUCUUCUUCUUCUGCCACGUUAUUCAGAUGCUGUAGAAGUAUAAAACCACAAUAGUAUUGUGUUAGGAAAAUACUAUUACCUCGUCUCAAAGGCAGGGGAAUGGAAUAAGUCCUAAAGAUGGAAGACUGGGAUAUGUCCUUUGGGACAAGGAGGAUCUGCUUCCAUAACACAGGUCCCAGAAUAAGCAGGGUUCUGUCAGAAUGGCAUUGUGUAAAAUAACAGAA
rnacentral:lncRNA from 1 species